UACGUAGGGUGCAAGCGUUAUCCGGAAUUAUUGGGCGUAAAGGGCUCGUAGGCGGUUUGUCGCGUCGGGAGUGAAAACACGGGGCUUAACCCCGUGCCUGCUUCCGAUACGGGCAGACUAGAGGUAUGCAGGGGAGAACGGAAUUCCUGGUGUAGCGGUGAAAUGCGCAGAUAUCAGGAGGAACACCGGUGGCGAAGGCGGGUCUCUGGGCCGAUACUGACGCUGAGGAGCGAAAGCGUGGGGAGCGAACAGG
rnacentral:rRNA from 1 species